GAUUCGGGGCGCAGCAGGCGCGAAACCUUUACACUGCGGGAAACCGCGAUAAGGGGACCCCGAGUGCCAGCACCUAGUGCUGGCUGUCCCGCUGUCUAAAUAACAGUGGUUAGCAAGGGCCGGGCAAGACCGGUGCCAGCCGCCGCGGUAACACCGGCGGCCCGAGUGGUAGCCGUUAUUAUUGGGUUUAAAGGGUCCGUAGCCGGCCCAUUAAGUCUCUUGGGAAAUCUGGCGACUUAAUCGUCAGGCGGCCAAGAGAUACUGAUAGGCUUGGGACCGGGAGAGGUGGGAGGUACUCCAGGGGUAGGGGUGAAAUCUCGUAAUCCUUGGGGGACCACCGAUGGCGAAGGCAUCCCACCAGAACGGGUCCGACGGUGAGGGACGAAAGCUGGGGGCACGAACCGGAUUAGAUACCCGGGUAGUCCCAGCUGUAAACGAUGCUCGCUAGGUGUCAGGUGCGGUGCGACCGCAUCUGGUGCCGCAGUGAAAACUUGAAGCGAGUCACCUGGGAAGUACGGUCGCAAGGCUGAAACUUAAAGGAAUUGGCGGGGGAGCACAAUCACUAGUGAAU
rnacentral:rRNA from 1 species